AGUGCCUUUCUUAUUCUCUAUCAGGCAUGUUUUCCCGGCUGCUCAGGUUAUUUCACAGGGAGAAUGGCAAUCAAGGAGAGACCAGACCAAGGCAGAAGGAAUUUGGCAUCCUUUCUUAUGAAAAAGGAAGAAUGAAAUCAUUCUGGGGAAGACACGUGUCUGCUGGGAGAACAUCAUCCCAAAGUUGCAACAUCACUAAUCAUAUGAAGAAUAUGAAUAAACUAGAAGAUAUGAAAUUUUAUAUCAGGAAGAUAAAUGCUGAGUGGGAAGAACUUUUUCGAAUCUUGGACAUUGACAUGAAUACUGAUUUGAACUAUAGGAUGAACACUGAAUUCACCAUCAUUAAAUCACAACAUGAGAAGACAAUGUUGGAUAUGGAGAAAAUGACGCAGUCAAUAAGUGAUACCAUUGAGAAGUACAAGGAAUUCAUAGAAGAUAACGAUUCCUACAGCAUCAGGCACACCCACCUCCUGAAAGAAUGCAAUCAAUUGAAGAAAAAAAGUAAGGAUGUUGCUGAAUGAGAACAGAAAGCUGCUGGUAGAGCAGGCUGACCAGGAGGCAUCCUUUGGUGAAGAAAAGAGUUCUGUGAUGAGACCAGCAAGAACAUACAUCCCAAGUGCAAAGCAGCAGCAGCCUUGCACAGACAUGCUGUCCACCAUGGGCAUGUGGCCUCUAUUUCAGGAUCUAUCCAUGCAGGAGAGUUUGAAGUUUCAUCCCAACACUGGUGAACUGCCCUUAAAUGGUUAUUCCUUCCUCUACCUCUACCCACUGAGGAACUUCUCAAUUCUGCAUUUCAUCAAUGAGGCAUUUCAUGCCUAGUCUGCAUGGUUAUCCUCCAUGAGAGGUGACAGAUUUGCUCCAACCUUGACAAUUCUAUGGCCUUAUCUUGAACCCACAAGAGCUCUGGAUGGGUGCCAGGUAACCUAGGAAAAUUAGCAUUUCAUCUUCAAGCACCUGAACCUAUAGGUCUCCAUAAACUUCUAUCUUUGAUUGU